UUUGAGAAGAGAAAAUUCAUGAUCUUCACUUAAGUGGGGGAUUCUCAAAGAGAAAACGCUUGAUUUUCACUUAAAUUGACGAUUCUCAAAGCGAAAACGUGAGAUUUUCGCUUAAAUGGGGGUUUUGCGAUGGGAAAACGUGUGAUUUCUGGUUAAAUGGGGGAUUUCGGAAGAGAAAACUCGUGGUUUUUUGGGUUAAUUGGGGGAUUUGCGAAGAGAAAUCGCGUGAUUUUUGCUUAAAUGGGGGAUUUGAGAAAACACAUGAUUUUCGGGUUAAAUGGGGGAUUCUUGAAGAGAAAAUGCUUGGUUUUCUGGUUAAAUGGGGGAUUUGCAAAGAGAAAACGCGUGAUUUUCGCUUAAAUGGGGGAUUUGAGAAAACGCUUGAUUUUCUGUUAAAUGUUGGAUUCUCGAAGAGAAAACGCGUGAUUUUCGCUUAAAUGGGGGAUUUCCGAAGAGAAAACGCGUGAUUUUCAAGUUAAAUGGGGGAUUUGCGAAGAGAAAACGUGUGAUUUUCGCUUAAAUGUUGGAUUCUCGAAGAGAAAACACGUGAUUUUCGCUUAAAUGUUGGAUUCUCGAAGAGAAAACGUGAUUUUCAAGUUAAAUGGGGGAUUUCCGAAGAGAAAACGCGUGAUUUUCGCUUAAAUGGGGUAUUUGAGAAGCGAAAAUUCAUGAUCUUCACUUAAAUGGGGGAUUCUCAAAGAGAAAACGCUUGAUUUUCACUUAAAUUGACGAUUCUCAAAGAGAAAACGCGAGAUUUUCGCUUAAAUGGGGGUUUUGCGAAGGGAAAACGUGUGAUUUCUGGUUAAAUGUGGGAUUUCGGAAGAGAAAACUCGUGGUUUUUUGGGUUAAUUGGGGGAUUUGCGAAGAGAAAUCGCGUGAUUUUCGCUUAAAUGGGGAAUUUGAGAAAACACAUGAUUUUCGGGUUAAAUGGGGGAUUCUCGAAGAGAAAAUGCUUGGUUUUCUGGUUAAAUGGGGGAUUUGCGAAGAGAAAACGCGUGAUUUUCGCUUAAAUGGGGGAUUUGAGAAAACACAUGAUUUUCGGGUUAAAUGGGGGAUUCUCGAAGAGAAAAUGCUUGGUUUCCUGGUUAAAUGGGGGAUUUGCGAAGAGAAAACGCGUGAUUUUCGCUUAAAUGGGGGAUUUCCGAAGAGAAAAAGCAUGAUUUUCUGGUUAAAUGUUGGAUUCUCGAAGAGAAAACGCGUGAUUUUCGCUUAAAUGGGGGAUUUGAGAAAACGCGUGAUUUUCGUUAAAUGUUUCAUUCUCGAAGAGAAAACGCGUGAUUUUCGCUUAAAUGUUGGAUUCUCGAAGAGAAAACGCGUGAUUUUCGCUUAAAUGGGGUAUUUGAGAAGAGAAAAUUCGUGAUCUUCACUUAAGUGGGGGAUUCUCAAAGAGAAAACGCUUGAUUUUCACUUAAAUUGACGAUUCUCAAAGAGAAAACGCGAGAUUUUCGCUUAAAUGGGGGUUUUGCGAAGGGAAAACGUGUGAUUUCUGGUUAAAUGGGGGAUUUCGGAAGAGAAAACUCGUGGUUUUUUGGGUUAAUUGGGGGAUUUGCAAAGAGAAAUCGCGUGAUUUUCGCUUAAAUGGGGGAUUUGAGAAAACACAUGAUUUUCGGGUUAAAUGUUGGAUUCUCGAAGAGAAAACGCGUGAUUUUCUGCUUAAAUGGGGGAUUUCCGAAGAGAAAACGCGUGAUUUUCGCUUAAAUGGGGGAUUUGAGAAAACGCUUGAUUUUCUGGUUAAAUGUUGGAUUCUCGAAGAGAAAAUGCGUGAUUUUCGCUUAAAUGGGGGAUUUCCGAAGAGAAAAUGCGUGAUUUUCAAGUUAAAUGGGGGAUUUCCGAAGAGAAAACGUGUGAUUUUCGCUUAAAUGUUGGAUUCUCGAAGAGAAAACACGUGAUUUUCGCUUAAAUGUUGGAUUCUCGAAGAGAAAACGUGAUUUUCAAGUUAAAUGGGGGAUUUGCGAAGAGAAAACGCGUGAUUUUUCGCUUAAAUGGGGUAUUUGAGAAGAGAAAAUUCGUGAUCUUCACUUAAAUGGGGGAUUCUCAAAGAGAAAACGCUUGAUUUUCACUUAAAUUGACGAUUCUCAAAGAGAAAACGCGAGAUUUUCGCUUAAAUGGGGGUUUUGCGAAGGGAAAACGUGUGAUUUCUGGUUAAAUGGGGGAUUUCGGAAGAGAAAACUCGUGUUUUUUUGGGUUAAUUGGGGGAUUUGCGAAGAGAAAUCGCGUGAUUUUCGCUUAAAUGGGGGAUUUGAGAAAACACAUGAUUUUCGGGUUAAAUGGGGGAUUCUUGAAGAGAAAAUGCUUGGUUUUCUGGUUAAAUGGGGGAUUUGCGAAGAGAAAACGCGUGAUUUUCAAGUUAAAUGGGGGAUUUGAGAAAACGCGUGAUUUUCGUUAAAUGUUGGAUUCUCGAAGAGAAAACGCGUGAUUUUCAAGUUAAAUGGGGGAUUUCCGAAGAGAAAACGCGUGAUUUUCGCUUAAAUGGGGUAUUUGAGAAGAGAAAAUUCAUGAUCUUCACUUAAGUGGGGGAUUCUCAAAGAGAAAACGCUUGAUUUUCACUUAAAUUGACGAUUCUCAAAGAGAAAACGCGAGAUUUUCGCUUAAAUGGGGGUUUUGCGAAGGGAAAACGUGUGAUUUCUGGUUAAAUGUGGGAUUUCGGAAGAGAAAACUCGUGGUUUUUUGGGUUAAUUGGGGGAUUUGCGAAGAGAAAAUGCGUGAUUUUCGCUUAAAUGUGGGAUUUGAGAAAACACAUGAUUUUCGGGUUAAAUGGGGGAUUCUCGAAGAGAAAAUGCUUGGUUUUCUGGUUAAAUGGGGGAUUUCCGAAGAGAAAACGCGUGAUUUUCGCUUAAAUGGGGGAUUUGAGAAAACACAUGAUUUUCUAGUUAAAUGUUGGAUUCUCGAAGAGAAAACGCGUGAUUUUCGCUUAAAUGGGGGAUUUCCGAAGAGAAAACGCGUGAUUUUCAAGUUAAAUGGGGGAUUUGCGAAGAGAAAACGUGUGAUUUUCGCUUAAAUGUUGGAUUUGAGAAAACACAUGAUUUUCGGGUUAAAUGGGGGAUUCUCGAAGAGAAAAUGCUUGGUUUUCUGGUUAAAUGGGGGAUUUGCGAAGAGAAAACGCGUGAUUUUCGCUUAAAUGGGGGAUUUCCGAAGAGAAAAAGCAUGAUUUUCUGGUUAAAUGUUGGAUUCUCGAAGAGAAAAUGCGUGAUUUUCGCUUAAAUGGGGGAUUUGAGAAAACGCGUGAUUUUCGUUAAAUGUUUCAUUCUCGAAGAGAAAACGCGUGAUUUUCGCUUAAAUGUGGGAUUCUCGAAGAGAAAA
ensembl:lncRNA